GACGAACGCUGGCGGCGUGCCUAAUACAUGCAAGUCGAGCGGACGAAUCGAAAGCUUGCUUUUGAUUCGUUAGCGGCGGACGGGUGAGUAACACGUGGGCAACCUGCCCUGUAGACGGGGAUAACACCGAGAAAUCGGUGCUAAUACCGGAUAACACGAAAUGUCGCAUGACGUUUCGUUGAAAGACGGCGCAAGCUGUCGCUACAGGAUGGGCCCGCGGCGCAUUAGCUAGUUGGUGAGGUAACGGCUCACCAAGGCGACGAUGCGUAGCUGACCUGAGAGGGGUAUCGGCGACACUGGGACUGAGACACGGCCCAGACUCCUACGGGAGGCAGGAGUAGGGAAUCUUCCACAAUGGACGAAAGUCUGACGGAGCAACGCCGCGUGAGCGAAGAAGGCCUUCGGGUCGUAAAGCUCUGUUGUUAGGGAAGAACAAGUAACGCAGUAACUGGCGUUACCGUGACGGUACCUAACGAGAAAGCCACGGCUAACUACGUGCCAGCCGCCGCGGUAAUAC
rnacentral:rRNA from 1 species